GCGACUUAUAUUCUGUAGCAAGGUUAACCGUAUAGGGGAGCCGAAGGGAAACCGAGUCUUAACUGGGCGUUAAGUUGCAGGGUAUAGACCCGAAACCCGGUGAUCUAGCCAUGGGCAGGUUGAAGGUUGGGUAACACUAACUGGAGGACCGAACCGACUAAUGUUGAAAAAUUAGCGGAUGACUUGUGGCUGGGGGUGAAAGGCCAAUCAAACCGGGAGAUAGCUGGUUCUCCCCGAAAGCUAUUUAGGUAGCGCCUCGUGAACUCAUCUUCGGGGGUAGAGCACUGUUUCGGCUAGGGGGUCAUCCCGACUUACCAACCCGAUGCAAACUGCGAAUACCGAAGAAUGUUAUCACGGGAGACACACGGCGGGUGCUAACGUCCGUCGUGAAGAGGGAAACAACCCAGACCGCCAGCUAAGGUCCCAAAGUCACAGUUAAGUGGGAAACGAUGUGGGAAGGCUCAGACAGCCAGGAUGUUGGCUUAGAAGCAGCCAUCAUUUAAAGAAAGCGUAAUAGCUCACUGGUCGAGUCGGCCUGCGCGGAAGAUGUAACGGGGCUAAACUGUGCACCGAAGCUGCGGCAGCGACGCUUAUGCGUUGUUGGGUAGGGGAGCGUUCUGUAAGCCUGCGAAGGUGUCCUGUGAGGGAUGCUGGAGGUAUCAGAAGUGCGAAUGCUGACAUAAGUAACGAUAAUGCGGGUGAAAAGCCCGCUCGCCGGAAGACCAAGGGUUCCUGUCCAACGUUAAUCGGGGCAGGGUGAGUCGACCCCUAAGGCGAGGCCGAAAGGCGUAGUCGAUGGGAAACGGGUUAAUAUUCCCGUACUUGGUGUUACUGCGAAGGGGGGACGGAGAAGGCUAUGUUGGCCGGGCGACGGUUGUCCCGGUUUAAGCGUGUAGGCUGGUUUUCCAGGCAAAUCCGGAAAAUCAAGGCUGAGGCGUGAUGACGAGGCACUACGGUGCUGAA
rnacentral:rRNA from 1 species